rfam:Mortierella elongata AG-77 unplaced genomic scaffold K457scaffold_6, whole genome shotgun sequence.
GGAAGUAUGGCGGAGUUGGUCUAACGCGCCGCCCUUAAGAUGCGGUGUUCCUUCGAACUCGUGGGUUCAAAUCCCACUGCUUCCA